rnacentral:other from 1 species
GCCCACCUGGAGUGUUUGCUAGUCGAAAAGUCCUUGAGCCGAUAAUACUACCCCGGGGGUCGUUACUGGAGCUGUUGUGCAUGUCCGCGCGUCGGAAAGCCUGAAGCGCCAAGGUGACUCCCACCUUGAACCUUUCGGUUCAGGGCCACGUUGACGGCGGCACUUCCGGGGCUU